UCCCUCGUGGCGCAAUUGGCUAGCGCGUUCGACUGUUAAUCGAGAGGUUCGUGGUUCGACCCCACGCGAGGGAG
rnacentral:tRNA from 3 species